rnacentral:rRNA from 1 species
GCCUAAAUACCCUAAGGCACGGGAUCCCAUCUGAUCUUUGAAGUUAAGCAGGGUCUGCUCUGAUUAGUGCUUCAAUGGGAGACUUCUAACAAAUACCUGGUGUUAUAGGCU